UGAAAUAUAGCAUAAUUAAUGCAUUUCACUUACACUGAAAGGAUACUCAAAAUUGAGCUGUUUCAA
rnacentral:tRNA from 2 species